CCGCCUGGGAACACCACGUGAUGUUGGCUU
rnacentral:piRNA from 3 species